UUGUGCUCCUUGAACAUCUUUGCUGACUGGAUUUUGAUCUAUAGCAUAAAAGGAGCUCGUAGUCAAAAUUGAAAAUUUUGGUCACUCAGUCUACCAGAUUUGGCACCGAUUCAGAUGUAGGUACCAAAGGCUGCUACCCAGAGUGCAUUGGGAGCUUGGCCAUUACAGGCUCUAGAAGGAGCUUCUUUAUGUAUUUAAUCAGCAUCUACCUCGUUCUUGAAGAUCUAUUGAAGCUGAACAGUUGAUGGACAAAUAAUGGAAUAUUUCCUUACACACAAUGUGAGAGACAACCAGAGGCAGUUCAUUUAUUCGGCAUACUGAAUUAGGGUGACAUCUCUGUGCUAUUUUUGCAGUACGUUGAAGAAUUUUUGUAGUGGUUAAUGAAUAAGCGAAGAAAUUUAUGCUAUAUGGGGGAAGCAAAUGGGUUGGGGCUCUUGGUGGAGAAACAUGAACCGAAUGUACCAGCAAUCUUGUAAAACUGCCAUGUACCAUAAUAUUCUUAAACUCAGAACCACAACAUGUGCUCUAGAUAAAGUAGCAUCUCAUCUGCAAAGCAUCACGAAGGUUUCCAUGACCGUAAGCUUGUAAUUUUGAUAUUUUGCUCCAUUUUUGUAGUGGUAUCAUGUAUUCUAUCAAUUUGGAGAAUCGCGUUCAAACUGGACGUAUCUGCCUGCUUAAUCAGCCAAAUCUCUGUUAACUCCGCUUGAGCACUAGCUAUCUAGCAUAGAAUCAUCUGUUCUGCCUCUGAUUUCACAGAGAUUGUCACUCGUGGGCACCAACCUGGGAUCAGCCACAUUUCAUUACUACGUUCACUGGUGCUUGAAAUUAUGUCGUGACAUACAUUUUUUCCUCAAGUCAAUGAGCUAUUGCAACUGACUAGCUCAAACAGUAGAAAUUCGACAAUACCCCCCAGAGAAAUAUUUAACUAGGAGUGGCAAACGUGCGAGUCGGGUCAGGUAUGGUUCUGGUCAAAAACAGGUAAUGAAAAAAUGGAUCAAUUAUUCGACCUGACCCAUAUUUAAUACGGAUAAAAAACGGGUUAACCGUAGAU